AUCUAGCUGAUGAGUCCCGAAUAGGACGAAACGCGCAUCCUAGAU
rnacentral:hammerhead_ribozyme from 1 species